GAUGAACGCUGGCGGCAUGCCUAAGACAUGCAAGUCGAACGAAGCGGCCCAUUGACUAUAUUGAAAAUGAAGAUGCUUGCAUCUGAUUUGGAUUUAUACGAUUUGGAUUUUCCGCUUAGUGGCAGACGGGUGAGUAACACGUGGGUAACCUACCCCUUAGUCUGGGACAACUAUUGGAAACGAUAGCUAAUACCGGAUGAUUCACAAAUGGAAAACUAUUUGUGCUAAAAGGAGCUUCGGCUUCGCUUUGGGAUGGGCUUGCGUUGUAUUAGCUAGUUGGUAGGGUAAUGGCCUACCAAGGCGACGAUGCAUAUCCGAGCUGAUAGGCUGAUCGGGCACAUUGGAACUGAGACACGGUCCAUACUCCUACGGGAGGGCAGCAGUUAUGGAUAUUCGUCAAUGGGGGAACCUUGAACGAGCAAUGCCGCGUGAGUGAUGAAGGUCUACUUGAUUGUAACACUCUGUUGCAAAGGAAGAAUAGCUACUAUAGGUAAUGAUAGUAGUGUGACGGUACUUAGCCAGAAAGCCCCGGCUAAUUACGUGCCAGCAGCCGCGGUAAUACGUAGGGGGCGAGCGUUAUCCGGAUUUAUUGGGCGUAAAGCGUUCGUAGGCGGUUUGUUAAGUCUGUGAUUUAAGACCGGAGCUCAACUCCGUGUUUGUUGCAGAAACUGGCAGGCUUGAGUGUGGUAGAGGCAAGUGGAAUUUCUAGUGUAGCGGUUAAAUGCGUAGAUAUUAGAAGGAACACCAGUGGCGAAGGCGGCUUGCUGGGCCAUUACUGACGCUGAGGAACGAAAGCGUGGGGAGCAAAUA
rnacentral:rRNA from 1 species